GAUCAUGGCUCAGGAUGAACCGCUAGCGGGAGGCCUAACACAUGCAAGCCGAGCGGUAUUGUUCUCGGAAAUGAGAGGGCGGCGUACGGGUGCGGAACACGUGUGCAACCUGCCUUUAUCGUGGGGGAUAGCCUUUCGAAAGGAAGAUUAAUACUCCAUAAUAUAUUGAACGGCAUCGUUUAAUAUUGAAAGCUCCGGCGGAUAGAGAUGGGCACGCGCAAGAUUAGCUAGUUGGUGAGGUAACGGCUCACCAAGGCGAUGAUCUUUAGGGGGCCUGAGAGGGUGAUCCCCCACACUGGUACUGAGACACGGACCAGACUCCUACGGGAGGCAGCAGUGAGGAAUAUUGGUCAAUGGGUGCAAGCCUGAACCAGCCAUCCCGCCGUGAAGGACGACUGCCCUAUGGGUUGUAAACUUCUUUUGUAUAGGGAUAAACCUACCCUCGUGAGGGUAGCUGAAGGUACUAUACGAAUAAGCACCGGCUAACUCCGUGCCAGCAGCGGC
rnacentral:rRNA from 1 species